rnacentral:rRNA from 1 species
CGGAUGCUCCGACAUGACGCAUGUCGUGUCGGGAAAGAUUCAUCGGUAUGGGAUGGGGUCGCGUCCUAUCAGCUUGAUGGCGGGGUAACGGCCCACCAUGGCUUCGACGGGUAGCCGGCCUGAGAGGGCGACCGGCCACAUUGGGACUGAGAUACGGCCCAGACUCCUACGGGAGGCAGCAGUGGGGAAUAUUGCACAAUGGGCGCAAGCCUGAUGCAGCGACGCCGCGUGCGGGAUGACGGCCUUCGGGUUGUAAACCGCUUUUGACUGGGAGCAAGCCCUUCGGGGUGAGUGUACCUUUCGAAUAAGCACCGGCUAACUACGUGCCAGCAGCCGCGGUAAUACGUAGGGUGCAAGCGUUAUCCGGAAUUAUUGGGCGUAAAGGGCUCGUAGGCGGUUCGUCGCGUCCGGUGUGAAAGUCCAUCGCUUAACGGUGGAUCCGCGCCGGGUACGG